GCCACCCUAGCUCAGGGGUAGAGCGGCUCACUCGUAAUGAGCAGGUCACGGGUUCAAAUCCCGUGGGUGGCUCCA
rnacentral:tRNA from 1 species